rnacentral:lncRNA from 1 species
CAUUACUCGCACUCUAAAUGCCACUUCUCUGAUCUGUCUCAGUAUCCAUCGCAUUUCAGCUUCUUUCCUUUGAAGGCCUUGUGUACACGAAUCAUUUCUUUCCCUCAUUUGGAAAUACUCUUGCCUUACUGCUUCAUACUAUGCCUUGUAGCCCUCCAUGGCAGUUUCUAACAAGCCGCAGUCAUUUCUUAACUCUUGGAUGGUUUGUUCUUGUCUUCGUACCUUGUGCUGCAAAGCAUUGUUGGCAUUUUGGAGUUCUUGCAUUCUGGCUAUCAGAG